UACGUAGGGGGCAAGCGUUGUCCGGAUUUACUGGGCGUAAAGAGCGUGUAGGCGGCCACGCAGGUCCGUUGUGAAAACUGGAGGCUCAACCUUCAGACGUCGACGGAAACCGUAUGGCUAGAGUCCGGAAGAGGAGAGUGGAAUUCCUGGUGUAGCGGUGAAAUGCGCAGAUAUCAGGAAGAACACCCGUGGCGAAGGCGGCUCUCUGGGACGGUACUGACGCUGAGACGCGAAAGCGUGGGGAGCAAACAGG
rnacentral:rRNA from 1 species